UACGUAGGGUCCGAGCGUUGUCCGGAAUUAUUGGGCGUAAAGAGCUCGUAGGCGGUUUGUCGCGUCGGGAGUGAAAUCCACUGGCUUAACUGGUGGCUUGCUUUCGAUACGGGCAGACUGGAGGUAUGCAGGGGAGAACGGAAUUCCUGGUGUAGCGGUGAAAUGCGCAGAUAUCAGGAGGAACACCGGUGGCGAAGGCGGUUCUCUGGGCAUGUCCUGACGCUGAGGAGCGAAAGUGUGGGGAGCGAACAGG
rnacentral:rRNA from 1 species